UUGGGGUCUGCUGGAGGAAUUGAUGAGUUUUAUGUCCCAGUGAGAGACUAUAACAACAACAACAACAUCAACAAAACUGAGCUGGGGUAGAUAAGAUGUCUCAUCAGGUAAAGGCAGCGGCUCUCUCUGAACCUGGAGCUCACCAUUGCAUCUGACUGGCUGGCAGUGCAUUCCAGGGAUCUGUCUGCCUCUGCUUCCUCAGCUCUGAGCUUGCAGACAUAUGCUCUUUUAGUAGUUUUGUUUUCUUGUGGCUUUAUGGAUGAAGACCCUGGAUUUUGACCACUGUCCUCUACCCAUACAUACACUCAAAAGAGAGCUUCCAACUGUGAUCAAGGAAUAAG